UACGUAGGUGGCAAGCGUUGUCCGGAUUUAUUGGGCGUAAAGCGCGCGCAGGCGGCUAUGUAAGUCUGAUGUUAAAGCCCGAGGCUCAACCUCGGUCCGCAUUGGAAACUGUGUAGCUUGAGUGCAGAAGAGGAAAGCGGUAUUCCACGUGUAGCGGUGAAAUGCGUAGAGAUCGGGAGGAACACCAGUGGCGAAGGCGGCUAUCUGGACGGUUUCUGACGCUAAGACGCGAAAGCGUGGGGAGCAAACAGG
rnacentral:rRNA from 1 species